AUUGAACGCUAGCGGGAUGCCUUACCCAUGCAAGUCGAACGGAGUGGCGAACGGGUGAGUAAUGUAUCGGAACGUGCACAGUCGCGGUGGAUCACUACGCCAAAGGGUAGCUCAUGCCGCAUACUCUUGGAACCGCCGAUAUCGGAUUAGCUAGUUGGUGGGGUAACGGCGCACCAAGGCGACGAUCCGUAGCUGGUGUGAGAGGACGACCAGCCACACUGGAACUGAGACACGGGCCAGACUCCUACGGGAGGCAGCAGUGGGGAAUAUUGGACAAUGGGGGAAACCCUGAUGCAGCCAUCCCGCGUGUGCGAUGAAGGCCUUCGGGUUGUAAAGCACUUUAGGCAGGAAAGCGGUACCUGCAGAAUAAGCACCGGCUAACUACGUGCCAGCCGCCGCAGUAAUUC
rnacentral:rRNA from 1 species